AUGACCCAGGGGCCCACAGGAACCCCCCACACAUCCUCCAUGACCCAGGGGCCCACAGGAACCCCCACAAAUCCCCCAUGGGCCUACACUACCACCAACAUCCCGUAUGACCCAGGGACCCACAGGAACCCCACAUACAUUCCCCAUGGGCCUACACUACCGCCAACAUCUCCCAUGAUCCAGGGACCCAAAGGAACCCCCACACAUCCCCCCAUAGGCCUAUACUACCACCAACAUCUCCAAUGACCCAGGGACCCACAGGAACCCACACACAUCCCCCAUGACGCAGGGGCCUACAGGAACCCCCACAAAUCCCCCAUGACCCGGGGCCCACAGGAACCCACACACAUCCCCCAUGACCCAGGGACUCACAGGAACCCCCACACAUCCCCCAUGACCCAGGGGCCCACAGGAACCCCCACACAUCCCCCAUGACCCAGGGGGCCACAGGAACCCACACACAUCCCCCAUGACCCAGGGGCCUACAGCACUCCAUACAUCCCCCUGUGGCUCAGGGGCCUGUGUGACUCCCCCUCCCACCGCACUGACUGGGCCUGGUCUUCAUGGCACAGCAGGGUUUGAGAAGGACAUUGCUGAGGGUACUUCCCUCUGGCUGCCCUGGAAGCUGAUCAGGACCACCAAGGGGGCACCACCACUUGAUGGGCUAGGGACCCACCCCCUGCACACACUGGCCAGCUAGAGGGUGAAGGCCCCAAGGGUACCAGUGCACUGACUGCUUGGGCCUCACUCACCCAGGCCUCACCCACCUGGGAAGCCUCCCUUCCUCCCUACAUCCCUCUCUCUGUGGUCCCACUGCCUGGCCUGCUCCACUCACCCUGCAGAUCAGACUGGCCCCCUCCUCACAAACAGCCUGUGGCAGUCCUUGAAUGACACCACCACUGCCCUGAUCACAAAAUUGUGAGGUGAAUCUCUGGAUGGGCUGCUGAAGGGCCUACUGUGUGCCCAUACCUGGCCAGACAAAGAGCGCCUGCACACACAGCUUAACCCAAGACAGAGGGGAUCCCUGAGGGGAGGCACUGAGUCAGGAGAGGCAGCCCUGCAGUUGGGGGCAUAGAGUAGGGCACUCACCGUCCCCACAUGCCCCCUGUCCCUGCCCAGCAGAAGGUACAAUCCUUCCCACUGAGUGACCCCAGAUCCCCACCCCUCUGCUGAGCAGCUUCAGUGGAUAAGGGGUGCCUGGCUUCCUGUCCACCCCCAAGUCAGGGCAACCCAGGCCACCUCACCU
rnacentral:lncRNA from 1 species